AAAAGAAACCAACAGGGAUUGCCCUAGUAACGGCGAGUGAAGCGGCAACAGCUCAAAUUUGAAAUCUGGCGUCUUUGGCGUCCGAGUUGUAAUUUGCAGAGGGCGCUUUGGCAUUGGCAGCGGUCCAAGUUCCUUGGAACAGGACGUCACAGAGGGUGAGAAUCCCGUACGUGGUCGCUAGCCUUUACCGUGUAAAGCCCCUUCGACGAGUCGAGUUGUUUGGGAAUGCAGCUCUAAAUGGGAGGUAAAUUUCUUCUAAAGCUAAAUACUGGCCAGAGACCGAUAGCGCACAAGUAGAGUGAUCGAAAGAUGAAAAGCACUUUGGAAAGAGAGUUAAAAAGCACGUGAAAUUGUUGAAAGGGAAGCGCUUGCAGCCAGACUUGCCUGUAGUUGCUCAUCCGGGUUUCUACCCGGUGCACUCUUCUAUAGGCAGGCCAGCAUCAGUUUGGGCGGUUGGAUAAAGGUCUCUGUCAUGUACCUCCUUUCGGGGAGAACUUAUAGGGGAGACGACAUGCAACCAGCCUGGACUGAGGUCCGCGCAUCUGCUAGGAUGCUGGCGUAAUGGCUGUAAGCGGCCCGUCUUGAAACACGGACCAAGGAGUCUAACAUCUAUGCGAGUGUUUGGGUGUCAAGCCCGAGCGCGUAAUGAAAGUGAACGGAGGUGGGAACCUUUCGGGGUGCACCAUCGACCGAUCCUGAUGUCUUCGGAUGGAUUUGAGUAAGAGCAUAGCUGUUGGGACCCGAAAGAUGGUGAACUAUGCUUGAAUAGGGUGAAGCCAGAGGAAACUCUGGUGGAGGCUCGCAGCGGUUCUGACGUGCAAAUCGAUCGUCAAAUUUGGGCAUAGGGGCGAAAGACUAAUCGAACUAUCUAGU
rnacentral:rRNA from 1 species